GUAAUAUCAGUAACUGCUGGGUAUGUGGCCAAGUCAACAAUUUCAGUUCUCCACUUCUUGGAGUCGCUAUGAGUAACUGGAUGGAGGUGAAUCCGUAUGAGAUGCUCAAUGCCUCAUACCAGUGUAAAACAGGAAGUGCCUCCCUAGAACUAAUAUCUUUUAGGAUGAUGUUGGUAAACACUUCUAUACAAUAUGUAUGUUGUAAUACCUCAGGAGCAUGGUUAGGACAGUUUAACAAAAGUAGACCGAGGUAACUGUGGUUGAAGGUAGAGUGGCCAAGGGGAAUCAGUUAACAAAUCACACAAAAGGAAAAAGAGGGUCUGAAUGAAGAUGGGCAGACUACCUGUACAGCAGGAGCACUACCCAGGUGACAUGAGCAAUAAACAUGUCAUGUGACUUACCAGAUGGUUAUUAGUGAUUGUGCAGAGAUUUAAGAGCCUGAGAACAGUUGCCAUAUGAUUGGACAGGGGAUUGUACGAUGGGCUAUCUGGCUCCUCCAUUACAAACGUUUCUUACUGAUAGCAUGACUGGCAUUGUACGAGGUGUUUGGAGGAAAUUUAAUAAAUGGGGUGUCUCUAAUCUCUUGUUUAGAUAUAAGACUGGGUAUCAUAGUUCUGCUAGAGCUUUGAUUCUCUCCUUAGGUAUAGUACAGCUGGAACGGGCUAUAGUGAAUAUUUCAGCAGAAAAUUAGGUAAUAUCAAAUUCAACUGCUGAAGCUCUUUAUCACUUGAACUGGAAGAAUUGAACCUGAAAGAACUAAUGGGAGAAGAUUGGGACCAGCCUGAAUCUGAUAUCCUGGGAGUGAGAAACACUUCUAAGGUGCAAGUCAAAGUCUGAAGUCCAGUGCUGUUGUUGAAGAGCACCAAUGCUUCAGUUCCUUGUUCACUAUGGGCCUCUCCUGCUUCAGUUCUGAAAACAUCAAACACCACCUGCAAGCCUGACAAGCAGCGGGACAUAAGUGAUGCGCCCCGUAAUCUGUUCAAAGUCUCUUGUACAGUAACACUUCUGUUUCUUUGAAACCACAAAGCUUUUUGUUUGUUUGUUUUUAAUUUCUGAUGGAUUAUGGUUCUGGGAAUUGCCAAAUCUCUUUAAAUUGAGGGUUUUUUUUUUUUUUGAGAACCUGUAUGCUGUUUUUUUGUUUGUUUUUUUUCUCUUGGUAGUAUGUAAAUUUUUCUGUGUGUGUGUGUGCUAUUCACACACUGACUGAGAAUGCUAUUAGUUGAAUUGUUCUGGAGAACAAAUUGCC
ensembl:lncRNA